CUACGGGCUGCUCCAGCUGAGGAAAUUUUACAAUGCUCGCAAGAGUGAUAAAAUAAGCCAGAGUGUUUCUUUCAAAGAAACUUUUGUCUGUUGUAAAAAGACAGACGAAUAAGGACUGGGCAAGACCGGUGCCAGCCGCCGCGGUAAUACCGGCGGUCCGAGUCGCAUCCACAUUUAUUGGGUCCAAGACAUCCGUAGCUUGUUUUGUAAGUUUCUUGUGAAAUCUGAUAUCUCAAGUAUCAGGCGCGCAAGAAAUACUGCAUUGCUAGAGACCGGAAGACGUAAGGAGUACGGUUGAGGUAGUAGUAAAAUACGUUAAGCUCAACUGGACUAACAAUGGCGAAGGCACCUUACGAGUACGGAUCUGACAGUGAGGGAUGAAGGCUAGGGGCGCAAAAGGGAUUAGAUACCCUCGUAGUC
rnacentral:rRNA from 1 species